rnacentral:lncRNA from 10 species
CUCAUGCUGAAGCUAUGCAAAUCUCCUGGCCUUCCAAGAAGUGAAAGCAAAUUUAUUAGGAAAGUAAAAGAAUAAAGAAUGACUACUCCACAGGCCAACCAGCAUACAUUGCCUUUCUGAGACUCAGUUUCCUCAUUUACAGCCUUCGGAGAGCAGCCACGUUCACCAUCAAGGCUUCGCUAUGAAAACUAAAGACAUGAUGAUAGAGAUGUGGAGGUCUGCGGACAGGAGCUCUCUCACAAUUUCCAAUGUGCAUCUCUCUUUUGAUACAUGAAACUUCUUGAAGUUUUGAAUGGCAAACUGAAGAGGUUCAGAGUAUGCCACCCCAAACUUGCCACGUGAACACAAAGAUUAUUUGGAGCUAAAUGUAUUUGAGAUUCAGCAGAUGCAGAAAGAAGCCUUCCCAGAGUUUCCCUUACCUGACUAAAAGCAGAUACUUCUGAGAAAUGAAGAUGGUCAUAGAUCCCCAUCCUGGGGCAGUUUUAUGCCAUGAAGGAGCUGGAAAGUCAAUGUCAAAAUGGACCUGCACAGGCAAACCUUACUCUAUCAGUUUCCCUCAAUGUUUUAUCUUCCCCGAGUUUGCCAUCCUCAGAAGCCUGAAAGUUUUUCUUUUGUCUUAUCACUUUUCUGUACAAUUAUUGAUUUUUUGUUAAGGUGCUAUAUGAGCCCAAGUUCUAACCACUCCUUUGCCUUAAUCGUCACUGAAUUUCCCAUGUGUAUGUGCAAUGCACAUAUUAAUAAACUUCUCUUUGUUUUUCUCUUGUUACACAUCUGUCUCUUUUCAAUGUAAUUUGCGAGACUCCAGCUGAAGAACCAAGAAAGGGAGGUAAAAAGAAUUAUUCAAUAUCUCA